rnacentral:lncRNA from 10 species
CAGGAGGAGGGAAAAACAGGGCCACAGGCUGGGCAUGACACAUCUUGUUACCCAUGCAAUGUUGGGGUCAGAGAGUGUAGAGAGUGGUGUGGGGAGAGUGCAGGCUGAAGAGUUACCUAAGGUCAAAAUCCUGACCUAUGAGCCAAGCCAUCGAUUUGGGAUUUCUACUGAGGACACUGGAAGUCACUAAGAGCAUCUGAAUGCCUGGACCCACGCCUUCAUCAAUCUACUGUCAGGGAUAGAUUGUGCAUUUUCUGUGUCCCAGUGGGUGCCCCCCCCCCAAAAUAGAGCAGACAAAGCCUGGCCUGCGAGGGUACUGGUUUAGUUCAACAAAUAUCCAUAGAAUGCCCACUUAGGCAAAAUGGCAUAGGGCAGAUUGCCAAAAUCAGGGUUGACUCGGCCUGGAGCCAUGAAGUGGGUCCAACAGGUCUCUGAACUGAGGCAGGAGGCCCCAGGAUCCCGAGGUGUGCUGUAAAGCCUUUGAUGACAGCAUCUUGUGCCUAACACCUGACCACAUCUGAGCCACUAGAGACAGUACCUGAUAAGGAUGCAGAUGCCUGGGCCCUACCUUCCAAAGUUCUGGCUCAGUAGGUCUGGGGGAAGACCAGUAAUCUUCAUUUUAACAAAGACCACUGACGGUUCUGAUGCAGGUGGUCCAAGGACCACACCUGGAGAAACUUCCACCUCUAGGAGCAUCUGGGGUAAAAACUUCACCCAAACUUCCUAAGGUCACAACAUAUCCCCCCCAACAGAGGAAGCAGUAACUUUUGGCCACAGCCCCUAGAGAGGGGAUUUGCCUGGCGUUUCUAUACUGUCCUCUGUCCAAGGACAAAGUGUGCCUUACCCCACAACUGCUUUGUGGUUAAAAGCUUCUAUUGAGGGAUAGUUUAUUUACUUCUAGCACUAUGAAGCAAUAUAGUGAGGUUUUUGUUUCCUUUGAAUCCCAGUCAUUUUAUGCUGCAGAAAAUCUAGAGUUUUUGCCACAGUGGAGGACUCUGCUUAAGGACUACCUAUCUGGGUCUGGUAAUAGCUACCCCAACCCAACGGUCCUGAACGAGUAAUAUGGUUCGACUGUUUCCCUCCCCACCUCCAAAUCUCAUCUUGAAUUGUAGUUCCCAUAAUCCCCACGUGUUGUGGGAGGGACCUGGUGGGAGGUAAUUGAAUCAUGGGGGCGGUUAGCCUCAUGUUGUUCUCCUGAUAGUGAGUUCUCACAAGAUCUGAUGGUUUUAUAAGGGGUUUUUCCUCCUUUUGCUUGGCACUUCUUGCUGCCACCAUGUGAAGAAGGACAUAUUUGCUUCCCCUUAUGCCAUGACUGUAAGUUUCCUGAGGCCUCCUGAGCCAUGUGGAACUGUGAGUCAAUUAAACCUCUUUCCUUUAGAGAUUACCCAGUCUCAGAUAUGUCUUUAUUAGCAGAGUGAGAAUGGGCUAAUACAAUGAGAUAGAACUUAAAUCCCCUGCAUGCUCAUCAGAGGAGGCUCCAUAGAAGAUCAUGGACCUUGAACAAGGUGCAAGUAAGCCUAGAUGCAAUGCAAUGGAUUAGGGAUUCCAGGCUUGAAAACCAGUGGGAAGGAAGGGGUCAGGUGGGAGUGGUCCUCAGUUCCUGUGUGGGCUCUGGCAUCAGGCAGCACACAGGAGUCUUCCCUGCUGGUGGGGAGAGAAAGAGGCAGUAGAAGGGGUCCCGAGCUGGAAGGAUCAGCAGCCACUGCAGACUACUGAUGGAGGCAGUGCCAGGGAGGAAGAGGGUCGUGCCUAGUGGUGUCCAGGCAUUGGCAUGCAGGAGGCAGUCCAGGCACUGGUACCCGGGAGAGUUAAAACUGGGGGAAGGGAAGACAGCAGGGGAUUCUCACAAGGAAUGUGGAGCAGAGGCCCAGGCAGGGGGCCAUCAAGGUGGAGAGGACUGAACCUGGAAAUGGAAGCUUUCCAAGUCACACAUUGAAGAGUAUCAGCAAGGUCUUAAGCCCUGGAACAGUGAGGGAUGGCAUCAGGACAAACUGAGGUCAGUGAGUGUGUUGGCAGCGGACCAGGCUCCGAACGGCACAAACUCCGUCUGGGAUGGGGAAUCUAGCAGAAGACCUAGGAAGAAUUUGAAGAGGGUUCAGAGGUGAAUUAGGGAUGCUUGUAGCUUUUGUGUGGGCAGUGCGUUACUGGGGUGUAGUCCUCAUUGAAGGCCCAAGAUUCUGCCUCUAAGGGUGUAACUCUGCUGAAUCCAGCACCUGAGAGGCUGUCCAGAGCAGGCAGGAGGUCAGCUGUCAGGCUGUGGGCCCAGUUUUAGAGUCAAAUUGAAUUUCCAGUGGGGAAGACCAAAGCUGAAGUCCAUCCCCCAGAGGAUGAGAGAAAGGAAGGCUGCAGCUCAGGCAGCUCAGGGAGUCUGAGGCAGCAAACGAGCUCUGGACCUUGAAGUGGGGAGAGGAAGUCCUUUCACCUCAUCACAGUGCUCACAUCACCUCAGAAACCAGGUGGGACACACAGCUGUGACAGGUGAGAGAUGAUUCCAUUGGUGCCUGGGAUACCAGAUUCAUGCUGGGAAGUAGGAUGGAUGUGGUGGUUUGCAAAAGGCUUUGUCUGCUAAAUUGAGGAUACUGGAUCAUACCCCAAGAGAAAGGGGAGCUCCAAUGGAAAAGCCACCUGCAUCAUGAUGCUGCCUGUCACUUGACUGAGCGUUCCUGCUGCCCAGAAGCUCCUGUUGUCCUCCCAACUGACGGGAUGCUCUUGGACAGUGAUGCCAGCUGGAAUUAAGACUGGGUUUCCAAGGCCACUGUGACCACCAUGAUUAAUGUGAGUAUCGCCAGGUCUUCUCCACACAGGCCCCCUCAGCAUGGUUGUCCCCAAAGCCCUGACCCCAGCUUUUCCUGGUUUUCUGCUUCCUUUAGCAAUCCCUACUGCUAGGGCUCCAACAUGCCUCAGCCAGAAAGCUGUCAUCUCUUUCCUGGGAACAUUCCUUAAGAAAGAACCAUCAUGGGGUUGGAUGAAACUAAACUUGCAAAGAAGGUGAUGUGUAACCAAGUUGGAGUGUGGAGUGUGGGGUCAAAGAUGAUGGCAUUCUGUGUGGAUCCGCAGUGGUAGGAAUGGAGGUGAGGAGGAAGAAAUGAAUCCAGGAGGCAGCGUGACAGAAAACACAGACUUUGGUGACGACAUGUGAGAAGCUGUAAACUGAUAAGAAGAAAAGACGUCUCCAGCACGUUUGGGUUAGUGUCAUCAACCCAUGGAUCCUGCCCACAGCAAGACUUGGCCCAGUCACAACCCCCUUUCUAGCAAUGUGGAGAUAAAUGUCUUCAACAGAAAGGGUUGGGAAUCCCAUGUGACAGCCGAGCUCUGUUCUGCCUUUGACAGAGUCUGAUGCGAAGUGGAUCAUCUCAGGGAUGUGCCUUGCUGGCUUCACCCACCUGGAGCCUCAGGGGAAGUCUCAGAUUCAAGGACCAGCCUUCAUUGGAUUUGGGGUGGAAGCUACAUGCUUGUGUCAAGGGUUGUAAUCCCAAGUCUGGUCCUGUUUUCUGCAAACAAUAUCAUUGUAAACACAUUGAAUGUGUCUGAAUGGGAUUCACAUAACCUAUUCAAAGGUUAAUAUCACAAGACUGAUACUGAGCUGGAAGCUCUGAAAUGUACUUGUGCUCAGGGAAGAUAUUUGCUAAUGUUUGGCUUUAAUUUCCCCUGGAACUUGUACACAUCAGUGAGGCCUGGGGAUAAUGAAUAACAGCAUGGACAAUAAAUUUUAAAACAAACAAAAUAAAAACUCAAAGAACAUUAAUGCAGACCAGUGCUGGGAUAUGAUGUGUGUUACAAGAGAGUAAUGAUUACUCUUGGUGAGCAGAUUCUAUUAUCUGCUUCUUAGGAGCAAUAGGUGGCUGCCUCUUGAUUGUAUUAGUCCUGGAGUUAUAAAAUCCUCAGUCCUUUACAAUGCAAAAGUGACACAUGGGGCGAGUAAGCAGGUAAGAGAAGGAGCAAUUGGAGGAAGAGAAAUGAGAUCUGUGGCAGGGGCUAUUGGCUUUCCACUAAAACCCAUUCUCUACUUCUUGCUGGGCAAGAACUAGGCAGUAUUUACCAGCCCCUCUUGCAUUUGGGGUGGCCACAAACGAAUUCUGGCCAGUGGAGUGAGGGGCUUCUCAGACAGCAGCCUGCCCCUUCCACACUCCUGUUCCCCUUGCAGUGGCUCAAAGCCCUUGGGUGAUGAUGGAGCCAUAGCUGGAAGAAGCCUGGGUCCCUGGGUCCCCCGUGGAGCCUCCACGCGGGAAGGUGGUCUAGAAAUACACUUCCAUAUUUCAGCCAGCAUGCCUUGGGAUCUUUUUUUAAUGGUGGUUCAGCCUACCCUAACUAAAGCUGGGCCCACUCAGCACGCCCCACACAGGGAUUCUGAAAUGGGAGCAGGGUCCACCAAAACUCUGCUUUUCAGAGAGCUCACACCCUAGGGGAGUAUAAAAGUGACGAGGACACUGGAGCUGGCAGGCAAGACCCAGGAUGCCAAAAUUAGGGCCCCUAAACACAGCAGGGAGGGUGAGCUAUCCUCUUGUGAGGUGGGAGGAGGGUCUCCGUGAGCAGGGCUCUUCUUGGGCCAAACCUGGAUCAUGAGGAGGAGGGAGAGAUGCUGAAUAUGACAUGUCAUUCAAAGUGCUGUCUGGAAAUUUGAGUUCGUUUCUUCAGUAGAGGCAGCACAGGUUAAUCAGACAAACCAGCCAUCAACAGGCUUCCUUUGAGGAGCUUGGUAAGAAUGGAAAACCCAGGGCUGAGGGGCUUACAGAGCUUACAGAGCAGCACAGUAUCAGGGGCCCAAGGCACCAGGAGCUCCUCUGGAAAUUGGCGGGAACAGCUGGAGCAAAGCCGAGGUGAUGGUACCCCUGGUGGCGGGACGGCAGCGACCCUCCAUGGUAUAAGGAGUGGUGAGACCCCAAGGGACAGUGUGCAAGGACUCUGAUGGCAGCAACACUCCUCUAGGAGCUGAUGAGAAAGGCCUGGAAUCCCAAGAUGCACCCCUGAGGUUCAACUCCUACCCUGAUCAUCUCCUCCAAGAUUCUGUGACCUGGGGAAGUCAACAGUACAUUUCAACACCUAUGAUGUCAGCAUGUGAAUGACAUUCCAAUGCUGCUCAUGGGGUCACCCCUGCAAAGGUGAACUCAGUGGAAAGACCUUGCCAAACCGGAAGGAAAACAGGAUACUUUUCUCCAAAAUACUCAUUCAAUAAAUAUUUGCUUAGGCAUUACAAAGACAAAUAAGACUUGCCCCUACCUGUUAGAGGUAUGUAUGUCGAGAAAAGGAAGGAGUGAUUCAAUAAGAGAAACAGCAUUCAGGGAAGAGAAAGAAGGAAGACAUAAAAAUUCAGGUCAUAUUAGAAUAAUAUAUAUAACAAUGAGUUUGGCUAUAUUUCAGAAUUUUCCCAAAAUAUUUCUUUCAAAUUUGAUUGACAUUCUAAACUAUUUAGCUUGAUAUAAAUGAGAUCUUUGUGUACCCUCAGCAGGAACUGCAUUUUAGCUGGUUUUAAAUCUCAACAAUCACUUUCCUGCCUUGGAGAAGGUAUGAACCAGGCUGUUUAUGUAGAAUCCAGGUGGGUUUGAGAGCAGCUUCAGCUGAAUGGAGAGUGACAGGGAGGCUGAGGAAGGGAGGGAGGGGACCCAUGGGCUGUCAUACCCGGGGACUUAGGAAGGCUCUUGCUCUUGCUGGAAGGGUUGCAAAUCCCUAAACCAAGUAAUCCCAUCCCUAAACCAAGUAAUCCCAUUAAAACAUGAAACAUCCAGAGUAAAAUUAAGUUUAGAAUACUAUUUGCAAAGCCAAACAUAGUCUUACCAUAGGAUCCAGGCAUCACACUCCUUGGUAUUUACCCAAAUGGGUUGGAAACUUCCAUAUAAAAAUCUGCACACAGGCCGGGUACGGUGGCUCACGCCUGUAAUCUCAGCACUUUGGGAGGCUGAGGCGGAUGGAUCACCUGAGGUCGGGAGUUCAAGACCAGCCUGACCAACAUGGAGAAACCCUAUCUCUGCUAAAAAUACAAAAUUAGCCAGGCGUGGUGGCACAUGCCUGUAAUACCAGCUACUCAAGGGGCUGAUGCAGGAGAAUUGCUUGAACCCAGGAGGCAGAGGUUGCGGUGAGCCGAGAUUGUGCCAUUGCACUCCAGCCUGGGCAACAAGAGUGAAACUCUGUCUCAUAAAAUAAAUAAAUAAAUAAAUAUAAACCUACACACAGGCCAGGCAGGGUGGCUCACCCUGUAAUCUCAGCACUUUGGGAGGCCGAGGCGGGUGGGGUGGAUCACGAGGUCAGGAGAUCAAGACCAACUUGGCCAAGACGGUGAAACCUCAUCUCUACUAAUAAUACAAAAAUUAGCUGGGCAUGGUGGCACAUGCCUGUAAUCCCAGCUACUCAGGAGGCUGAGACAGGAGAACCGCUUGAACCAGGGAGUCGGAAGUUGUGGUGAGCCGAGAUCACACCACUGCACUCCAGCCUGGUGACAGAGUGAGACUCUGUCUAAAAAAAAAACCUGCACACAAAUAUUCAUGGUAGCUUUAUUCAUACUUGCCAAAACCUGGAAGCAACCAAGAUGUCCUUCAAUAGGUGAAUGGGUAAAUAAACUGUGGUACAUCCAGACAAUGCAAUAUUAUUUGGUGAUUAAAAAAAAAGAAAUGAGUUAAAAUCUUGGAUUUCUUUUUUUUAAAUGAGUUAUAAAGCCACAGAAAGACCUUAAAUACAUAUUGUUAAGUGAAAGAAGCCAGCCUGCAAAGCUACAUCUAUACAUGACUGUAUGACAUUCUAGAAAAGGCAAAACUAUAGAGACAGUGAAAACAUCAGGGAUUGCCAGGGGUUAAGAGGGAAGGAAGGAUGAAAAGGCAGAGGACAGAGGAUUUUAAGGCCGGUGAAACAAUUCUAUAUCAUACCAGAAUGGUGGAUAUAUGGGCUGGGGCUCAGAAAACAAUACCCCCAAAUGAAUGCCUCAGAAGCAAAAGUUUCUCCUGCCCUCCCAUCCCUGACCUCAUUCUCCCCCAAGGUUAGCCAUAGAAACCAGAAGUCCUCUUUCCCAAGGUGGGUCAUAGAAACUUCCAAACCCCUUUUCCCCAAAGCCAGUCAUAAAACCUAAAAAUAUGACUCUAACUUCCACCCCCACCCCACCACCUUUCUGUGUAAAAAUGUGUCAUAAGGAAAUCAUCUAACCUGCCUUGUUUGGUUGUCGGUCGUAAGACCCCCAUUCGAGAGAGGGCCCUGCCCCGUACCCAGCAGGAAGCAAUGCUGCCCAGAGAGGCCACGAGGAAUCUAGACAGGGCUUGCUGGGGGGCCCCACUCACUCUAUGAGCAUUAGCUCAUUCCCUUUUUUGUCCAAUCACAUUUCUAAAUAUUUUGUUGCACCUAAGCUUAAAAGUGGGCAGAGUCCCCUGCAUCUCUGGGUCUUCGUUCUGAAGGCUCCCCUGUCAUGUAACACUAUGACCAAAUAGAUGUGUGUGCCUUUUCUCCUAUUCAUCUGCCUUUUGUCUGUUAAUUUUCAGUGAAACUUCAGAGGGUGAAGGGGAAGUUUUCCUUGGCCCCUACACGUGUCAUUACAAACCCAUAGAAUGUACAAUGCCAAGAGUGGACCUUAGUGCAAGCCAGGGACAUUAGUCAGUAAUAAUGUUCCACGCUGACGCACAAAUGAAAGUUAUUUUAUUUGUGUGAACAGGAGAGCUGACAUGGUCUGUAUUGAUAUCUCCUGGGCAGGGAGGUGGUGAGCACGGCCCCAGAAUUCUGAACUGCCAGGAGCCAGGCAGCUUUGCAUCCUGGAGCUUGGCCAAUUCAGCCGCCCAAGUUCUGGCCAUGGGUCUGCAGCCCCCUGGCCCUUGCCUGCAUAAGCAGGAGAUGAAUGAGAGGAAGCAGAACUCACACAGGAGGCAGGAGGAAGCCACCAGGAAGCUCACUGGCUCCAGGGGCAGCAGAUCUGGGAUGGGGUCCCAGUUCUCUCCUUCCUCAUUCAUGAAAUGGGGCAAUAACAGUACUUACUUCAUUGGAGGUUCUUGGAGGGAAUAAAAGAGAUAUUAGUUAAAGGCAUGGAGCACAGUCCCUGGCACACUGAAAAAGUUUCAUAAAUGUUACCAAUUAAUUGUUUGUAUUAUAUAAUGUCUUCCUGAUAGGUUUUUGGGAAGGAAUAAAUCAAAGGUGAGAAAAUAUAUACAAAAACCUGACUGAGCGAGAACAUAGCUUACACACAAGAAGUGGCAGCUUGGUGAGCACACUGCUAUGUCAUGUUGUGCCUAGUCAUGACAUAGCCAAGGACUGAUACAGGCGCUCCCAUAACCCAUGGAUGGAUUCCUGCUGGACUCUAUUCAUGAAGGUUCUGAUUCUAAUUUUUUUAAAUCCAUGGAUAAAACAGCUACCAGAAAAUCCCAUUUGGGUUUGCAUGUUGUUCUUUGGCUUCGGUGGACAGCAAUCAUAUCAGUUGCAUUUCCCGAGCUAGAGCUCUGAGGCUUAGUCAUCCCCCUCCCUGGCUGGCUUCCAUGCUGUCUGCAGUGGGAGCAUCUUUUAUGAGAUGACAGGAGGGGACUUCAUGGAUGUGCAGCCUGGGCUGCUGGUACUGCCGGGGCUGCUGGUACUGCUGGGACUGCAGGAGAGGGAUGGUUUCUAUUAAUCCUCACAAUGGGAGGGUCCAGUGGGCUGUCACAGCACAGGCAGGGAAUCACAGGCCUCCCUGGGUGACCAGCUGUCCUGGCUGCUACCAGAUUCGGACUCCAGCAGGCUUUCCCUGGGGGCAGAGAUGACCUUGAUCUCUGGGCAGCUAGGCUUCAUGUCCUUGAUAUUUGUGGCCCUGCAUUGUUGGGGCACAGGAUGCAGAGCUGGGGAUGACUGAGCUUAAACUCCUGCUGCUAUGGAGGGCUGCCUCCUUGCCCUGAAUGCCCUGGGAGCCCUUUUAAAAACACAGGUCCAAGGAGUGAUAACAUGAGGGGCAGCACCUCUGGCCCCUGAGAGAGAAACUUGUCCAGUGAUAUGUGCACAAGCAACAUCUCCAGGCAUUCCUUCCAGACAAGGCAAGAGGCCCCCCAGGUGUGAUAUGUUAGCUACACAUGGGCUUGGUCUGUACUGCAAAUGUGUACUCAGUGAUGGGGCCAUUAGAUAUUUGGUUUCUACAUUGCUGCGAUGAAAAUUUACAAAGAACGUUCAUGGGGAAACCAGCUCCCAUCCAUGGGCAGCAGAGGAAUGUUGUCCAAGACUUACAUGGACAGGUAAGACUAAGGUCUCAUCCCAUACUCAGCAGUUCUGUGACCUUUUACAGAACAUAGGGAGGCAAGAAGGGAAAUGAGCCUUAGUUAGCCUCAGGGAGAACCAAGCCAGGUCUGUUUAGGGUCACCACCUUCACUGAACUGCCCUCCACUGGAGGCUAGGAACUGCAGGACAUGAGUUCAACAUCAAAAUAGUAAAAAUAGUGGCAAAUGUUUAGCAGUGUUUGCAACAUAUCAGGUGUCACAGCAACCUCUGCAGGAGAGGUGAGCAGGGCUAAUAUUUAGCAGGUGCACCCUUGUACUGGCUGCCUGCCAUUUAAUAGGUUAGUGCCUCAGCUGGUUAUUGAAUAUUUUCAACAUCGGCCCUGGGUACUAAGAUUAGUUCCCAUUUUACUGAUUAGGAAAUCGAGGUUAAGAGAGGGUAGGCGAUUUGCCUGAGAUCACACAGCCUCGUGUGUGGCAGAGCCUUAGAUUCCAAGCCAGGCUGUCCGAUGCCAGACCUUCACAGCUAUCCUAUGCUUCCACGGCACCCCGGACUUCCCCUUGGAGCACUUGCCAGUGAAACAAACAUGCCCUGGAGAAAUGCCUGGGUGAGUGUGCCUUCUUCCUUGCACAGAGACGGGCCUCUUGCACCCUCUACUUUCCUACUGUGGCUGGGGUGAGGUGGCGGGUAGAAGGGCGUGGGUUGUAGCUCACUGUCUUCUUCAGGAGUCCCACAGUGGGUAGGAGCACCAGCUGUUCAACAAGAGAAGACCAUUAGGCUUCAGGAGGGAGAGGAAGUUUUUUUGGGAAUGAGAGGACCAAGAGAAAUGAGGCACAGGGGAGAUCGGCCCCAAGGCUUGUCCUGAAAAAAGAACAUCAUCUUCUUCUAAGGUCCCGAGCGUGGGAUUUAUCUGACACAUUCUUCCACAUGCUUAUUGCAGGAGGAGCGUUGUGUUAAGUGCUUUGCAUGCAUUAAUUAUCUCAUUUAAACCAAAACCAACCCAGUGUGGCUGAGUGACUAUAUGAUGUCCAUUUUACAGAUGAGGAAAGGGAGGCUGAGAGAGCUUAAAGGACACACCACUUUUGAGUGGCAGAGCUAGGAUGCAAACCAGACCUGACUGCUGUUAAAGCUUGUGAUGUUUGUAGUCAUUCUUCUAUACUGUACCCUCAUAGGAAGUUCAAAAACAGAGAGGGUGGGAUUUGGUCUUUGGCUUUUGUUUAAAUGUAUGUUUUUAUAGAUAUAUUUCCUUAGCCCAUGCUAUGAACCAGGAGUUUCCAUUUGUUUAUUUAACUGAUUUAUUAAGCCUUUUUAGGGGCCAGCCCAGGUUCUGGGCACAAGCUGGAGAAGGAGAGCUGCUGCGGUCCCUAACUCAUGCCUCUUGCGGCAGUGGGUGGGUGUGAAGAGGGAGGAGGGGAGGAGGUGGUGAGAAGUCUGCUUCACAUUAUUCAGAGUUUCCUGUGAGCCAGGCACUGUGCCUGGGGCUAAGUGAUUAUAUCAUUUAGCCCUCCCAAUAGACUCUCAGGUAGACGCUCUCUUAUUUCCACUUUUUCCCAUUUACAGAUGGGGAAAUGAAGACUUAAGAAACUUAGGUAAUCUGCCCAAAGGCUUAUAGCCAAUACAUGGUAAAGCUGAGAUGUGAACUCAAGUAUCUGACUCCAAAGCCUGGGUUUUUUCUCUUUCUCUCUCUCUUUUUUUUUUUUUUUUGAGACAGGGUCUCACUCCUUCACCCAGUCUGGAGUGCAGUGACAUGGUCAUAACUCACUGUAACCUCAAACUCCUGGGCUCAAGUGAUCCUCCUUUCUCAGCCUCCUGAGUAGCUGGGACUACAGGCACACACUUUUAUGCCUGGAUAAUUUUUGUACUUUUUUUGUAGACAGGGUCUUACUGUGUUGCCCAGGCUGGUCUGGAACUCCUAGGCUAAAAUGAUCCUCCUGCCUCAGCCUCCCAAAUUGCUGGGAUUACAGGUGUGAGCCACUGUGCCCGGUCAAAGCCUGUGCUUUGAUUUGCCACCUAAUCCUCCUCCGUUUUAUAUGUAAUGUUAACCCCAAACCUGCAGGGUAGCCGUUAUCAGCCUCAUUUAACUGACAGGGAAGCCCAGUCUCAGAGGGGCCAGAUGCGUGCCCAAGGCCUUGCUGGGAAGAAUGGGAUUCUGGGCCCAGGCAUUCCAGCGCCAAGUCCAGGGCGUGAUUGUUACUCUGCAGUCCCUCUCUGUGACAAGAGCCUCACCGGGAACUCGGGGGUGGGGGCUCCCCCAAGCCUCCUGGCUGGACCCCAUUCCAAGCGUUAGUGUAACAGAUGUUGUGUGGCGGGAGUCUGUUGUGCUCCUGGUGUGUGGCUGGGAUUCAGAGGUGUCUUCAAGCGCUCUAGGAAGCCGGCGGGCGGGGCCAUGGCCGCAGAAGUGAGUGCAGGGAUGGAGAAUACAGGGAGUCCCUUGACCGGAGGAGACUUUGGAGGCAUUUGUGCUGUUCGCGUGAACUCCGCGUCCAUGGCCUACCCUGUGAUUGUCAUCAUUUCUAUGUGAGAAAAAAGCGGCUACUGAUUCACAGCGAAAGGAAACGGACUAGGUUCUGAAACUUCCUGUUUGUCUGGUAUCUGCAAAGAUAUGUGUGUUAUGCAAAUACCCUGACUCCCCAGAACUGCAGGUGUGUACAAACACACACACGCACGCACACACACACACACACACACACACACACACACACCCUCUGCUUGGCCCCAUGCAGUGGGUCUCCUCUGUACCCAGUAAACUGAAACAUGACUCUACUAACAUGGUAGCCAGGACACUGGGGACUCUGCUGUCGGAAUCCCUGAUCAUAGAGACAGCAGCUUUGGCCUUCGGCUCAAAGAGCUUCACAGAUGUCCCUUGUAGGCGAGUCCUGGCUCUGGCUCCUGGCCCACUGCAGAGCCUGGGAGUGAGGCAGGCAGAUAGGCGAGGGGGUCUCACCCAGGCCCAGGAACUCCAUUUUCUCUCAGCCCCAUUCCUCCCUCCCUCGGCUCCCUGACCGUGCUGAACGCAGCUCCCAAGCAGGGGGAGAGUCCAGAUAAUGGCAGAUGUUGAUUGUUUCCUGUUGGUUCACUGUGUCCUUUUGGCAGGCCUUUCUUUCUUUCAAAAUAUAUUCAGGUUUGAGCCUAGCACUGCAGCUUGCUGAGUGGGUCUAUGCUUCCAUAGAGCAGUGGCUUCGGGCACAGGCCUGAGACCCAGCCUGCCUGCGGGCUGCUAGCUGCCAGCUACCUCUGCACUAGGAAGGUUUUUAAACAGCUGAAUGCAAGCUUCAGCGUUAAUAGGUGAAAGUGAAAAUGACAUGUGACUUCUAGACAAUUCUCAUAGAUUCAAAAUAAUUGUUCUCUGUAAUGAGUAAAAUAACACUCUUGCAACAGCUGAAUGCUUUUCUCAUAUUCUGAGUUGCCCGAAUUAGGGGAAAUGGGUCUAAAUGGCUGCAAGAGGCAGUUUUGUCAGCUAGACGUCUUUUUACAAGUAUAUUGCAUCCUUCAGUCUCUUCCUGCCCCACCCUAAGACCCUCACCUGGGAAAUGGGAGGAUGGCUUGGAAGGCAAUUGUCAGGCCUCUGAGCCCAAGCUAAGCCAUCAUAUCCCCUGUGACCUGUACAUACACAUCCAGAUGGCCCGGUUCCUGCCUUAACUGAUGACAUUCCACCACAAAAGAAGUGAAAAUGGCCUGUUCCUGCCUUAACUGAUGACAUUACCUUGUGAAAUUCCUUCUCCUGGCUCAUCCUGGCUCAAAAGCUCCCCCGCUGAGCACCUUGUGACCCCCACCCCUGCCCGCCAGAAAACAACCCCUUUGACUGUAAUUUUCCUUUACCUACCCAAAUCCUAUAAAACAGCCCCACCCCUAUCUCCCUUCGCUGACUCUCUUUUCGGACUCAGCCCGCCUGCACCCAAGUGAAAUAAACAGCCUUGUUGCUCACACAAAGCCUGUUUGGUGGUCUCUUCACACGGACGUGCGUGAAAGCGAUGAAGCUGAGGUUGCAGGAAAGGAGUGAUCACCUGGCUCAGAGCUGGGCCCUAAAAGUCUAGGCCAGAGCCUCCCUGUUGUGAAAGGGAGUGGAAGGAGAAGGGGCUGGGAUGGGUCAAACUGGGUGGAAAGCUAGGCUCUGCUGUUUAGAAGCUGUAUGAUCUUGAGCAAGUUGCUUAACCCUUGCUAAGCCUCAGUUUCCCUUCCUGCAGAAAGGGAUUAUCAUGGGGACGAAAGGGGAUCCAGAACCUGGAGUGGAGGAUAGGGUGGGUAAGUGGAAGGUGUCAUGAGGACAACAUAUGCUGAGACACUCACCACCCUUUCUGAGGGCGCCUCAGCAGCAGGUCACAUGGUGCCUGAAACUCGUUUUUCUGAGUUGUGCUGGUUUGUGGAAUGAAAAGGGAAGCCAGGCUUCCUUCUUACUAGCUCUGACUGCCUUGUUUUAAGGAUCAUUCACCUUCCCUAAGGAUGGGAUAAAGCCUUCCUGUAGAGCAGACCGAUCUCCUUCUUUAUCCCUACAGUUCUCCCACCGUGGCCAUGGCCUUGGGGGCUGUUCUGACUCUUACAUUUAUAUAUCACUCCUACUUUCCCAGCCAGCAGGAUAGAAAACCUGAGAAGGGAAUUCUGCCUUAUAAACAUUUCUUACAGAUGGGGCAGACAGGUUGUUUCUUUUUUACCAAGGAAGCUCAGGGCAAUUCUGGUUGCAGGAAUGUUAAGCACUGAUAAAGAAGAGAAGAAAAAAUAUUCACCCUCCAGGGCCUGGAAUUUCCCCAUUCCUGAGCCCUGGCUUCCCUGUCUGAGAUAGAGACUGUCAGUCAGUCACCUACCAAUUCCCAAUUUCUCUUUCUGCUUUACUAAAAGUACUUGAUUUGGGAUGGGGGUGGGGGGUGGCAGGCAGCAAUACAUCCAAGUAAAAGACUGUACUUCCCAAAUCUCUUGAAACUAGGGACAGCCAAUGAGGUAUAAAUGAAAAUUAUUGGGGCUGGGGUCCCAAAAGCUUCUCUCUCUUUUUUGAGACAGAGUCUCAGUUUGUCAUCUAGGCUGGAGUGCAGCAGCAGGAUCACAGCUGUAAAAUCAAAAGUGUCAAAGACAGGUCUCAAUCAAUUUAGAAAGUUCAUUUUGCCAAAGUUAAGAGCACACCUUUAACCUCAGGUGAUCCUGACAGCAUGUACCCAAGGUGGUUGGUGCCCAACUUGGUUUUAUACAUUUUAGGGAGCAUAAGGCAUCAAUCAAUAUGUGUAAGAUGUACAUUGGUUUGGUCUGGAAAGGUGGGACAACUGAAAGGUGGGACUUCCAAGUCAUAGGUGGAUUCAAAGAUUUUCUGAUUGGCAAUUGGUUGAAAGAGUUAUUAUCGAUAGAAAAGAAUGUCUGGGUUAUGAUGAGGGGUUUUGAAGGGAGGAGGGUAGAAUGAGGCAUGUCUGACUCCCCCUUCCCAUCAUGGCCUGAACUAGUUUUUCAGGUUAACUUUGGAAUGCCCUUGGCUAAGAGGAAGGGUCCAUUCAGAUGGUUGGCGGGGGGGCCUUAGAAUUUUAUUGUUGGUUUACGUGGCUCAGUGCAGCCUUCACCUCCUGGGCUCAAGUGAUCCUUCCAUCUCAGCCUCUUGAGUAGCUGUGGCCACAGGUGCAUGCCACCAUGCCUGGCUAACUUUUUUUUUUGGUAGAUAUGGGGUCUUGCCAUGUUGCCCAGGCUGGUUUUGAAUUCCUAAGCUCAAGUUAUCCUCCUGUUACAGGAAAGGGGUCCUGAUCCAGAUCCCAAGAGAGAGUUCUUGGAUCUCACACAAGAAAGAAUUCGAGGUGAAUCCAUAGAGUAAAGUGAAAGCAAGUUUAUUAGGAAAGUAAAGAAAUAAAAGAAUGGCUACUCCAUAGGCACAGCAGCUUCCAGGGCUGCUGGCUGCCCAUUUUUAUGGUUAUUUCUUGAUUAUAUGCUAAUUAUUUAGUGUUUGCAAAAAUAGCCAGGCUAUAAGGGGUGGAUUAUUCAUGAGUUUUGUGGAAAAGGGGUGGGCAAUUCCCAGAGCUGAGGGUUCCUCCCAUUUUUAGACCAUAUAGGGUAACUGCCAGAUCUUACCAUGGCAUCUGUAAACUGCCAUGGUGCUGAUGAGAGUGUCUUUUAGCAUGCUAAGGCAUUAUAAUUAGCAUAUAAUGAGCAGUGAGGACAAUCAGAGAUCACUCUUAUCACUAUCUUGCUUUUGGGGGGUUUUAACCAGCUUCUUUACAGCAGCCUGUUUUAUCAGCAAGGUCUUUGUGACCUGUUUCUUGUGCUGACCUCCUAUGUCAUCCUGUGACUUAGAAUGCCUACCCUUCUAGGAAUGCAGCCUAGUAGUUCUCAGUCUUAUUUUACCCAGCCCCUACUCAAGAUGGAGUCCCUCUGGUUCAAAUGCCUCUGACACUCCCACCUCAGCCUCCCAUAGUGCUGGAAUUACAGGCUUGAGCCACUGCACCUGGCCUUAAAAGCUUCUUAAAGGGAUCUAAGAAAUUGACUCUCCCCACCCUCUUUCUUAACCGUAAAACACUAAUGUAAUGGCUGGAGUUCUAGCAACCAUAUUGGGCCAUGAGGCAACCUUGAAAAAGGAAGCCACAAACUAAAACAUUGACUCUCAACCUUUAAUGCUGAAAAAAGAAAAAGUAUCCCCUGACAUCCGGGAAAUGGCCUGACACUUUGAGCUAGGGCUUAAUCUUAUUAAAAGCUUGCCUGGCUAUUUUUGCAAACACUGAUGUCAGUCGCCAGUCUGCAACUGUGAUGAAGAGGUCAAAAGAGACCCCUUCCUAACUCUGUCUAAGCACAAACAACUCCACAAAACACUAGACACACCCCCUUCUGGCUCAUUAAGUGACAGGGGCCUCCUUAUCAACUAUAACUAUAGCCUUGAUCUUGUCUUCUGUCCUUAUAGAUAAGAUUUACUAACAUACCCAGCUGCAGAAUUGUCCCAUUUCCAGACAGCAGACAAUGCAGAGCAAGCCCUUCCCUCCUAGACCCUCCCCAAAUUCACCUAACCAAAGCCCAAAGCCUAAAAGUCCCUUUGAACACCUUUUUAGUGAAAUGGUGCCCCCAUGAUAUCUUCCUCAUUGCAACCAGUAAUAAAGCCAACUUGUUCAAAUGCCGGUUUGCAAAUAAAUCACUUGGGGAUUUGUUAAAAUGCAGACUGUGGUUCAGUAGGUCUGAAGUAGAGCUUAUUCUGUGUUUGCCACAAGCACCCAGUGAGGCACUUGCUGCUGGACCAUGGUCCCACUUUGGGUAGCAAGGCAGUUAAGGGUGGCAGAUUAGAACACUGGACAUGCUUAACCUUGACCAUGGGACCACUGUAUGCAUCCUGUUGUUUCUCAGUGAAAAUAUGCCUGUAUUUCAUGUAAGCCCCCGCUAUAUAUGUUGGCUACUAGCAACUUAACCAACACGUUGUCCUUGUCCUUAGAAAAUGUGUGGUUACAGCCAGGUGUGAGCAGGCCUAGACCAGGCUUGGGGAUUUAUUGACCAAAUGUGGUGCCUUUGAGGUGAAACCACAAGUAAUCAGAGAAGCUGAGUCACUCCACUUAGUGGACUGGUGGAAAAUUCUCAAAUGGUCUUAAGCUGGCCCCAUGUUGGGCUGAGGACUAGAGAUCUCAGAGGCUCCACCUGCCCAUCCAAUUGCAGGUGUCUGGGCCUGGCCCCACCUUGCCUUCCUGCUCCAUUGCUCACCAUUCCACACCCAAAGGCACCAUGAUGUUUUGUACCUCCUUGCCUUUGCUCUUCCCUUUGCCAGGGAUGCCCUUCCCACCUUCCUCCACGUGGCUAACCCUCCCUCAGCUCUGCUUCCAGGGUGUCUCCCCUGGUCGCCAAGGGCUGGCUAGUGCCUCUUCUUUGCUCCCAGGGCACCCUGUGCCUUUCUGUGCCCCAACUAUUUCCCAGUUUGUAGCAGUUAUUUAUUUUGUGGUCAUCUUCCCACUGGUCGUCAGCUCCUAGAGGGCAGGGAUCAUGUUUUGGGUUAUUCAUCACUGCAUCCCCUGACAUAGUCCCCAAACCUCGAGAACUAUGAAACUGCACCAAAGGUUCCAGCUCCCCCACAGCCUGCCCUUAACCUUGAGCCAUUUGAAGGGAGAGUAUGAGACAAUAGUGAAAGAAACCCUUCUCUAAUGUUUUCCCCAUUUAGGUUAUGUGAAGUUGGCAGUUCCCAAGGGCUUUAGGCUUGAAGCUGUGGGUCAUACCCCUUCGGAAACUUGGUCCCCAAGAGAAAUGUAUGCUUCUGAAAACCACAGGUGCAUGAAUCGUGUUUAGUAAAUGACUACUAAACUGAAAUCAGGACUUGUCUAUAUCUUGGCUUCUCAAACUUGAAUAUGCUUAUCAUCUGGAUAGCAAAAGCAUUCCUACACGUUGAGGCCUGCCAGCGUGGGUGUCACCCAGGAGCCACUCGGAAAGGCUCAUCGGAAACCACCCCGGACUGACUGAGGCAGAAUCUCUGGGGGCAGGACCCAGGCCUCAGCAUAAAAACUCCAGGUGACGGAAGAGCUCCCACCUAACAGAAAGAAAAUAAAAGAGACUGAGAAACCACAGAAAUAAAGAAGCGCUGAUGACAAUGCCUGCUUGCUGAUGGUUACGAUGAUCAUAGCAGUGUGCAUUUUGUAUGCAUGAAGCCUGCGACUAAAUAAACGUGUGGGGAAAUAUUUGUAAGGAAAUAAGCUAUUAAUAAAAUAAGCUAAAAUCACAGUUGCUGGACUAUGACUGAUUUUUCCCCUUUCUCUCAUUUAAAAUUAAAUAUUUGUAUGACUUGUAUAAUAGAAAAAUACAUGUAUUCAAUCUUAAAAAGAUAUUCUUAUUUUACACUUUACGGGACAAAAGAGGUUGUAGGUUGGAAUGGUUCAGUCCCCUUGUGACAACUCAAAAACAGAGACCUUAAGCCUUUCUCAACCAAUGUUGCGGGACAAGCAGGCGUGUGAGGCGACAAUGCCAUUAGGGUAUUUUUUGGAAAAAUUUUAGUGUGAGAGACAAAAGCCAAAUUCAAACUGGCCUGAGCCAAAAUAGGUAGGAAAGGGAGAAGCGGAGACAGGGAGGAAGAAAGAGAGAGAACAGAAAGAAAAAGGGAGAAAUGUCGAAAGGCAAAAUUACAACACAUUUAGUUAAAUGAUUGAAUUGGUUUUUAUUUGUAAUUCAUGAAUUGGGGCAGCAUCUCCUCUAAAACUUUAGGAAAAGUGCUCUGAUGAGCUAAACAGAGAAGCUUGGCUUUAUAGGCAGAAAAGGGUGAAGAAAGCAGACACAGGGAACAAAAAGCAGAUUGGUAAGCUCAGGUUACUUCAGGUUACUUUCCUUAUAAAGGUUAAAGUAGAGGGGACUUCCUUAUCAUGCUGGCUACAACUGGCCUGUUUGGGGAUUUGCAUAUUAUCUCUCUCUGUCUUGAGUUCUGGGAAGGUCUGAUGACUUAGUUUCAGUUUGGUGAUAUGGAACUUAGCAUGAGUGACUCCAUCUUGGUUUGGUCUACUGGGGCCUCCUGCAGGAGCUCAGCCCAAAUCAGUGACCUCCUAUAAAUUUCAUUUAAUAGAAAAGGAAGGAAGGAAGGAAGGAAGGAAGGAAGGAAGGAAGGAAGGAAGGAAGGGAGGGAGGGAGGGAGGGAGGGAGGGAGGAAGGGAGGAAAGAAGGAAGGAAAGAAAGAAAGUUGCUUAUAAGUUGCUUAUAACUAAAAAGACCAGCUGGACCCAGGAGCUCUGAGGUUGCUUUCAGGCCUCUGUCCAUCUCUUAGUUUUCCAUCCUCAGACAGGCUCUGCCCUGCCUUACAGUCUAGCAUUGUUGGCCAAAGGUGACUGACUGGCCCAGCUUGGGCUAUAUGUCCUUCCCUGUGGCCAGAGAGAUGUGUCUCUGUGAUGGCCAGGCUUGGGUCACGUACUCCCUCCCCUACCAGAAUCACAUGAAAAGAGGGAGGAAGAGCCGCUUUCCACCAAAGGAAACUGAAGUGCUAUUGUCAGAGGGGUUGCUGGGCAGACCAAAAAGAUGACAAUAUCUGCUCCAAUCGCUCGGGUUGUUGGUGCUUGGCAGAUUUGCCCCUACGUCACUUUUCAGAUGUGGAUAAGACUGAAGGUGACCACAGGCUUCCGAGAGGAAAGCUGCCAAUGGGGGUGUGAGAGGAGGGGGAAUUCUUACUCACCAAGGUUAACACUGUGCACACUGUUCUCCGAGGAAGUGGGAAUUUCCACAUGGUGAGUUCCCUUCCCUGUACAAUGAAUUACUAUCUUGAUGAGAAACCCGUGGGCAGCUGGUUGAGAAGAGAAAGGUAUUCUCUGAAUGAGAGGGAAUUUACCACCUUCCUUUCAAUGGUGACAGUUUUUUCUGGUGUCACCGCAGGGUGUGGAUUGAUUCAUAUACAAAUAUACAUAUCUACAUAGAUGCCAUUCUGCUAGCCUCUGCAAAAUGCAUGCCUGGAGACCAUUUCUGCUGCCUAGGAGAUGUCAACUUUGUCACCACCACUCUCUCUCCACCACUCCCACACCCUGCAGGGGCCAGGUGUGUGGGUGGGGAGCUCCCCAGCUGGAGGCCAGAUUAGAGGUCUCUGUGUGGUGGGGAUGGGGAGGAUGGGGUGGGAAUGAGGUGGUAGGCCACUGGCAGUGGUCCAAGUUCCAUCCAGGAUCUGUCCUAGGCCUCUCCCCAGGCUGUCGCUUCCACCAUUGAAUUUCUAACCUGGAUCUCUAAGGUUAUGAAUAUCUCAUUCCCGCAUCCUGGGGUGCUCAGACAUGUCUCCCCUGAGUCUCUAGCUGGGCUCGUGGCUGUGAUCAUUGUCCUCAGAGUUCCAUCCUCCCAACAAAGGGACAGAAGAAACACAGGGCCCACUUUUCUGGAUUCUGAGUUGGAGCCAAGAAAUUCUAUCUGCUGCUUCCUUCCUGUUGAAUUAUCCCCCAAGGACCCCUUAGUCCCUCCAGUCUCCUCCAGAGGCCUAUAGCUGCCCCAGCUCCCCAUGAUGGAUACCUGGCUCUUUCCUACCCAGAGGAAAACGCAGGCCCUUCCCCAGCCCUGCACUGAACUCCUGUGAGUGGCUGAGGAGAUGAGGAGGUGUGAAGAGUGAGUGUGUUGGGGAGGGAGGGGUCCCCUGCCACCAGGUACCAAGGACUUCUGCCAGAUCACCAGAACUGACACCUGGUUCCACCGGCCAGCUGUGAAGUGUCGGCCCUGACAUCAACAGCUGACCUCCCACAGGGCCUAAGGAAACGGAAUUGUGG